GUUUGCAGUUUUAACUCUGGGCCCCUUAACAGGUUGUCUUAUGGAAAUAAAAGUGAACAGAGAUCCUACUUUCAAAUUAUCUUCAGCUCUGAAAGGAGAGGACCUAUUGUUUUCAGUAUCCAGAACUAAUAAUUUCAGUCACUUGCAAAAGAUUAGGACAAGGGAUGAAUGAAGUAGCUCCCAUCAGCAUGUGUCCCUCUGGCAGAAGCAGGGAUACAAAUCUCACAAGCAUAUGUGCCAUCACAAAGGUAAUUUUGAUCUACCCCGUACAUUUAAUC